rnacentral:rRNA from 1 species
AUUGAACGCUGGCGGCAUGCCUAACACAUGCAAGUCGAACGAGUGGCGGACGGGUGAGUAAUGUCUGGGAAACUGCCUGAUGGAGGGGGAUUACUUCUGGAAACGGUAGCUAAUACCGCAUACCAUCGGAUGUGCCCAGAUGGGAUUAGCUAGUAGGUGGGGUAAAGGGUCACCUAGGCUACGAGCCCUAGCUGGUCUGAGAGGAUGACCAGUAACACUGGAACGGAGACACGGUCCAGACGCCUACGGGAGGCAGCAGUGGGGAAUAUGGGACAAGGGGAGAAAGGCUGAGGGAGCCAUGCCGCGUGAAUGAAGAAGGCAGUGGGGGUGUAAAGUACUUUCAGCGGGGAGGCGUUACCCGAAGAAGAAGCAACGGCUAACUCCGUGCCAGCAGCCGCGGUAAUAC